rnacentral:rRNA from 1 species
AUUAGAUACCCUGGUAGUCCACGCCCUAAACGAUGUCUACUUGCUGUUGGGGGUAAAACCUAAGUAGCGAAGCUAACGCGAGAAGUAGACCGCCUGGGGAGUACGGUCGCAAGAUUAAAACUCAAAGGAAUUGACGGGGACCCGCACAAGCGGUGGAUGAUGCGGAUUAAUUCGAUGCAACGCGAAAAACCUUACCUGCUCUUGACAUGCCAAGAAUCCUGCAGAGAUGUAGGAGUGCCUUCGGGAACUUGGACACAGGUGCUGCAUGGCUGUCGUCAGCUCGUGUCGUGAGAUGUUGUCUUAAGUGACGCAACGAGCGCAACCCUUGUCAUUAGUUGCCAUCCUUAAGUUGGGCACUCUAAUGAUACUGCCGGUGAUAAACCGGAGGAAGGUGGGGAUGACGUCAAGUCCUCAUGGCCCUUAUGAGCAGGGCUUCACGCGUCAUACAAUGGUCGGUACAAACGGUUGCGAAGCAGUGAUGUGUAGCUAAUCCGAAAAAGCCGAUCUCAGUCCGGAUUGUAGUCUGCAACUCGACUACAUGAAGUCGGAAUCGCUAGUAAUCGCAGAUCAGCAUGCUGCGGUGAAUACGUUCCCGGGUCUUGUACACACCGCCCGUCACACCAUGGGAGUGGAGGAUACCAGAAGUUGUUAGGCUAACCGCAAGGGGGCCGAUUACCACGGUAUGUUUCAUGACUGGGGUGAAGUCGUAACAAGGUACC